GCUUAGUGUUAGCCUGGGUUUAAACGCUGGUUGCCCCACUCACAAGCUGUGUGACCCUGGGCAAGUCACCUUACCUCUCUGAGCCUCAAUUUCUUCAUCUGGGAAAUGGGGAUAAUGGCAGUAUUUAUCUCAUAGAGUUGUGAGAAUUAAUU
rnacentral:snoRNA from 1 species